GAUGGGGCUGACGUUCUUGCCGAUGCUGCGGAAGUUCUGCCCCACGCCCUGCCUGCCGGCGUUGACCUUCUCCGGGUAGACGCCGUCCUUGGGGUGGAGGUACUGGACCUCGCCGUUGGGGAAGACGCGGUAGAACUGGUAGUUGAUCUUGUACUUGGAGCGCAGCCUGGUGCCGAGCGCCAGGCACUGCUCCUUGCGCGCCAGCUUCAGGAGGUUGGGCCCCUCCCGCAUGAUGGCGGCGCCGCCCGUCGGCAUCUCGAACACCUGCUCCUUGGGGGACGUCCACGUGAUCACGUAGAACUCCUCCACCUGCGCCUUCCGGAGCAGCCCGCCCGUGCUGCCGCCGAAGAUCGGGGACGGGGUGUUGGGGUCAAGCUGCGGGGGCACGAACCCCUUGGGCGCCUCCUGGGUCGCCGCCGCGGGGGCCUCCUCGGCGGCCGCGCGGAGCGGGGCCGGCCCGCGGGAGGACGACGGGAGCGCGAGCUGCGAGGACCGCGGCGCCUUCGCCGCUGGCGACCAGGCCGCGGCCAAGAGGUGGCGCGUCGCGGCGGAGGCUUGCGUGGCCAUGGCCAUCGUCGGCUUGAUUCUCGGACGAGCUGGUGCGGCUUCUUGGAGCGAAGCUAAGAGCAAGAUGGCGAGGAGAGAUGAGGAGUGGAGGGCGCGGCGCAGGCACGCAGCUAAGAGGUGAUGCUCUGCUUUGGUUGGAGACCACGGGUGGCGAAGUGGAUAAGGGGAUAUGAGGCCGGCCAAUGGGGAGUCCGGAUUUUGAUACGUCCUGAAACCGGGCAUCCACACAUGUCACGUCGGCUGCCACACGUAGCCGCUCUGGGUGUUGAAAGUUGCAGAUAUCAGAAUCUGAUCAGCGUCACUGGGAAGUCUGGGAGGAAAUUAAAGGUUAGAUGACGUAGGUAUAUGCAUGUACUACAAAAUCUAGCCUGUACAGUAUAUUCUUUUGAUGCGACUAUGCAAGAACCAUCACUUGUAACUGAACACAGAGCUUAUGUUAUUCUUCUGAUGAGUUGAUCAGUAUUCCUUCGGAAAAAAAAAUGAGCUGAUCAGCAGUUGAGCACUUCUUCAGUUCUUUGCAGGGGUAACAUGAGAGUGAGAUUUUUUUUUUGAUAGGGGGGUAACUGAGGGAUGAUAAGGUAAGCCCUUGACUCCGGAGUAUAUUAGUAUAACUAUAAAAAAUCGAACAGGCGCGUGACACAAAAAGCGUGCAGUUUCUUAGCAGCAACGGUAAUUACUGGAUUGGGCCGGCCCAAACGAGAGAGUUCUAUCCGCUCGACAGAAUCCACCGGCCCACGAAGACGUCCACGCAUAUGACAAGUAUGCUUGGGUUUUUUUUUUCAUAUUUAUUAGAAGCACUUUUACUCCCUUCACAAAUCAAAUUCCUUCCCCUUCAUCUUCCUCGCAAAAUAACAACUAUCAAGCAUAUUCCACACUUCUACAGUUCUACUGCAUACAACCACGGACUCACGGAGUUAGAUUUUGUUUCGUUGUGUUUUCCUAUUUUUUUGCGAUUGCAAUAUAUUCUGCAUGUCCAUAAAGACGAAGAGGGACGGGGAAAAUGCAAUUCGUGCUGCCAUUACAAUUUACAAGCCUCUUUUAUCUAGUGGUACUUUACCGUACGUGUCUUAUUCAUGCAUACCACACUUGCAAGGUUAAAAGUAGACAUAUUGAUGGAGUUUCUUGUCGUCUCUAAAAGAAUCACAUUUCACAACUGCACAAUAAGCACUUCCGUAUAAUCCUCCUGAAAAUCGAUCAAAAUAAACGCCGGGGCAAUUUAUAAUAUCCUAUGGUAAAACCUAGUGAAUGCAAGCAAAACCAGGAACCGUUUGUAAAUGGAUCCAGUUACUCGGCCUCGUUGGCUGCCAACCUUCCAAUUCUGCUGUGGCACGGCCGUGCCGCCGUCUCCCCCGGCCAGCCGAGCCAGCCACCGCCGCCGUCCCGAGUGCACCUGCGGUGCCGCCACCAGCGAGGCCUCCCCAUCUUCUUCCUCGCCGCGCCGCUCCGUGCCUCCGUCAGCCCGAACGCGGCUCCCCAUCGGCGCGCAAGUGUGUCCGGCCUAGACACGUCAUCACAUUUUCCGCGCCAUCUGAUCGGGAUCAGUUUUAGGAAAGGAACCCCGACAUGCUUGACAGGAAAUAGCAAUAGCACGGCCACGGGCAAGGCAACCAAGUUCUAGUGGCCCUUUUUGCCGGGCAUGACUACCUGAAGGCGAUAAAUCUGCGACCAUCGCCUCAAGAAACGCAUCCUCGAUGAGUUGCAUGUCGGCCCAAUUAAUUAGACUGCUUCAAUGUGGCGCCCCUUGUUUCAAAGAGAGGAGGACGGGUUAUUCACAUUUAAUUUGAUGGUCAGAGGCGAAUUGAAAGCUAAGCAGUGGUAAUUAAGACCCCCGGGUGAAAAUAGGGAUGUCUCCUACGUUACCCAUAAUAUGUGGAAGUAUCGACGUAAUUUCAUAGAGUCAUUCGAUCUGAAUGCUACAUGAAGAACAUAAGCCAGAUGACGGAACGCGGAGACCUAGGAUGUAGAAGAUCAUAACAUGAGCGAUUCGGCAGAUUUGGAUUCCUUUUCUAUAUAUCCACUCAUGUGGUACUUCAUCAUACGAUUCAUAUAAGAUCCAUCUGUCUAGAGAUCGUCAUAUACAUCUAGAAAGCCGUAUGCUUUGGAAGAAGCUUGUACAGUUUGGGAAGGGGUUUUUUGAGAAAAAAGAAGAAUCUACUUCAACCGAUAUGCCCUUAGGCACGGCCAUACAUAACAUAGAAAUCACACGUGGAAGGGGUGGGCAAUUAGCUAGAGCAGCAGGUGCUGUAGCGAAACUGAUUGCAAAAGAGGGUAAAUUGGCCACUUUAAGAUUACCAUCUGGGGAGGUCCGUUUGGUAUCCCAAAACUGCUUAGCAACAGUCGGACAAGUGGGUAAUGUUGGGGUGAACCAAAAAAGUUUGGGUAGAGCCGGAUCUAAGUGUUGGCUAGGUAAACGCCCCGUAGUAAGAGGGGUAGUUAUGAACCCUGUGGACCACCCCUUUCUUUUACCUAUUUCUCUGGGCAAUCUCUUAUUAACAACUUCUUUCCAACUAGUUUCACUAUAAAUAAGAUAAUACAAUAACAGUAAGAAUAUUUUCAACACAAAAGUUCUCUCAAACAAGAGAAAGAAACAUACCUUUUUCAUACAUAUUUAGAAUAUGUUCCCUAUGCUAACUGGGUUCAUUAGUUAUGGUCAACAAACAAUACGCGCCGCAAGAUACAUUGGUCAAGGUUUCAUAAUUACCUUAUCCCACGGUAAUUAUGAAACUAAAAUACCCUAUAGGGCUAAGCGGAACGAAAAGGGUUUUCCAUAAGAUGGUAAAUGAAAACGAUUAGCCCCACACGAGGUUUGGGAAUAAGUGAUUGUCUGAUAAUGAGCAAGGAAUAUACGUCUUUCUGCUAAAGAGCAUCUAUUAAACUCAUAAUUCAUUAGAUCCUUGUUAGCAAUGUCAACUAGGUAUCAUAAGUAAAUGGAUCCCGGUUGUUCAAUCCUUUGAUAACCAAGGUCAUUCUUUGCUAAAGAGAAAUGAUCACUAUGGGUCAGACUCAAUAGAAUUGGAUCCAUUCCAAAUAGCGAGAAUUAGGAUUCUUGAUCCCUCUCAAUCUCUCUUUCAAUUCGAGGAUCCAGAGAGGUGUUUUCAUAGUCAUCUCCGAAUAUUUGCCAUCUCCGAAUAUUUGCCAUCUCCGAAUAUUUUCGAUUUCAUUUUUCUAUGAUAUGUCUUUCUAUAUGAAAAUUGGUUAUUUACGAUGUACGAUGAUCCCUGUUAAGCAUCCAUGGCUGAAUGGUUAAAGCGCCCAACUCAUAAUUGGUAAAUUUGCGGGUUCAAUUCCUGCUGGAUGCACGCGAACGGGAACGUUCCAUAAGUCUAUUGGAACUGGCUCUCUAUCUAUGGAAUCUCAUCCAUCAUCCAUACAUAACGAAUUGGUAUGGUAUAUUCAUACCAUAACAUAAGAACAAUAAGAACUCGAAUUCUUAUCGAUACUGGAACUCAGAGCAUAGGAGGGAAAGUCGAUUUAUGGAUGGAAUCAAAUACGCAGUAUUUACAGAAAAGAGUCUUCGUUUAUUGGGAAAGAAUCAAUAUACUUCUAAUGUCGAAUCGGGAUUCACUAAGACAGAAAUAAAGCAUUGGGUCGAACUCUUCUUUGGUGUUAAGGUAGUAGCUGUGAAUAGCCAUCGACUACCCGGAAAGGGUAGAAGAAUGGGACCUAUUCUGGGACAUACAAUGCAUUACAGACGUAUGAUCAUUACCCUUCAACCGGGUUAUUCUAUUCCACUUCUAGAUAGAGAAACGAACUAAAGGAGAAUACUUAAUAAUACGGCGAAACAUUUAUACAAAACACCUAUCCCGAGCACACGCAAGGGAACCGUAGACAGGCAAGUGAAAUCCAAUCCACGAAAUAAAUUGAUCCAUGGACGGCACCGUUGUGGUAAAGGUCGUAAUGCCAGAGGAAUCAUUACCGCAAGGCAUAGAGGGGGGGGUCAUAAGCGCCUAUACCGUAAAAUCGAUUUUCGACGGAAUCAAAAAGACAUAUCUGGUAGAAUCGUAACCAUAGAAUACGACCCUAAUCGAAAUGCAUACAUUUGUCUCAUACACUAUGGGGAUGGUGAGAAGAGAUAUAUUUUACAUCCCAGAGGGGCUAUAAUUGGAGAUACUAUUGUUUCUGGUACAAAAGUUCCUAUAUCAAUGGGAAAUGCCCUACCUUUGAGUGCGGUUUGAACUAUUGAUUUACAACCCAAAAUCACCAUUCCUUUUGGUUCGCACAACCAAAAAAUUAUUCUGAAGGUCUACAGGAAGAUAAAAAAAUACGGAAUUGUAUCAAGAACUAUAUACAACAGAAUAGGAAAAAGGCUCGAAUAGAAAAAUAGAAUCAGACUCAAGUUCUGAAGUAAUUACACAUAUAGAAAUCAAAAGAAAUUGAUACAAUCCACCGUCAUAAUCCAUAUUGGAUUCCCCAAUUUAUUAAAGAAAAGGGAGCAAUCGAAGAAUUAGAGAAAGAUCUCCAAAAGGAAGUUAAUUCUGUAAACCAGAGACUUAAUAUUGCUAUCGAAAAGGUUAAAGAACCUUAUAGACAACCUAAUAUUCUUGCAGAAUAUAUAGCUUUCCAAUUAAAAAAUAGAGUUUCAUUCCGAAAAGCAAUGAAAAAAGCCAUUGAAUUAACUAAAAAAGCAGACAUAAAGGGAGUAAAAAUCAAAAUUGCGGGUCGUCUAGCAGGGAAAGAAAUUGCACGUGCCGAAUGCAUCAAAAAGGGCAGACUGCCCCUACAAACAAUUCGCGCUAAAAUUGAUUAUUGCUGCUAUCCAAUUCGAACUAUCUAUGGAGUAUUAGGUGUAAAAAUUUGGAUAUUCGUAGAAGAAGAAUAACUAACCCAGUCUUCCCAUUCUGCUCGUUGAUAGAAUAAGACAAGAACUUCUUUUUCCCAAAAUCCCUAAAAAAAGAAGAAAUUAUAUCUCUUUCUAUAAGAUUUAAUGAAAAUUGAUAAAUCUUUUAAUAUAAUUGCUAUGCUUAGUGUGUGACUCGUUAGUUUUUUCUUUAGGGUCAAAAAUGAGGAUUUAUAAAAAAAAAUGGGCUGAACCCUACUAAAAAUAGAAAAAAACUUAGUAAUUCUAGAAAAUUAACUAAUAACCAACCUAUUGCUUCGUAUUGUCGAGAUCCUAACUAAGAACCAGUCACUAUGUGAAUAAAUACAUCUAUAAAAAAUGAGUAGAUCUAUCAUAUAGUUGUAGCAACUGCAUUUUUUUCUCUACAAAAGAAACCUGAUUUUAGGCUGUGAAGCAAAACUAAAGGGAUGUGGAUAAAAGGAGGGAUGAUAGAUAGAAGGAAGAAGAAUAAGAAAGAUAUAGGAUUCCAAUGUGUAUGGUCUAUGAAUUACAUCAUAAAAAAAAAGCAAUGUGAUAAAGCAUCAAUAUAAUAAAAUAAUAAAAAAAGAGAGAAUUCGAAAUCGUAACUUUUGAAAUAACAAAUCAAAAUUUAAAGAAAUAAAAAAGAGCAGCCCGCGUUAAUAAAACUGAGAAAAUUGACUCGGAAAGAAAUUUUUUGGAAGCUCCAUUGCAGGAUUCAAACCUAACCAUUAAAGGAGAAGCAGUGGGAACGAGAAAACCUAUGACGGCAUCGGAUUUUAUUGAAAAGAAUCCUAACACUUCAUUGGGUGGGAUGGCGGAACAAACCAAAAAAGUGGCUUUAUUUGAUAAGAUUCUAAAUUAACAAAUAAGACAGGAAAGAGUAAAUAUUCGCCCGCGAAAUCCUUAUUGGAUUAGAAUACUUUACCACGAUUCAAUAAGAAUAAAAAUAAGGAGAUUCCAAAAUAUUAUGGAAUUAGAGAAAUUCGCACGCUUUCUCAUUUAAUUCGCGAGGAGCUGGAUGAGAAGAAACUCUCAUGUCCAGUUUUGCAGUAGAGAUGGAACUAAGAAAGAACCGUCGACUAUAACCCCAAAAGAACUAGAUUUCGUAAACAACAUAGAGGAAGAAUGAAGGGAAAAUCCUGCCGAGGCAAUCGUAUUUGUUUUGGUAGAUAUGCUCUUCAAGUACUUGAACCCGCUUGGAUCACCGCAAGACAGAUAGAAGCAGGACGAAGAGCAAUGACACGAUAUGCACGUCGUGGUGGAAAAAUAUGGGUGCGUAUAUUUCCCGACAAACCGGUUACAAUGAGACCCACAGAAACACGUAUGGGCUCGGGAAAGGGAUCCCCCGAAUAUUGGGUAGCCGUUGUUAAACCAGGUAGAAUACUUUAUGAAAUGAGCGGAGUAUCCGAAACUGUAGCUAGAGCAGCUAUCUCUAUAGCUGCCAGUAAAAUGCCCAUACGAAGUCAAUUUCUUCGAUUAGAGAUAUAGAACCCCAAAAAGGAGUAUUUAAGAUAAAAAACCCCAGGUUUUUCUUUCUAGAAAGACAAUAUUUCUUUCAUCCUUUUGCAUUGAAAUAACAAAUUGAAAUCAAAAUAAUAUGAUUCAACCUCAGACCCUUUUAAAUGUAGCAGAUAACAGUGGAGCUAGAAAAUUGAUGUGUAUUCGAGUCAUAGGAGCCGCUGGUAAUCAGCGAUAUGCUCGUAUUGGUGAUGUUAUUGUUGCUGUAAUCAAAGACGCAGUGCCCCAAAUGCCUCUAGAAAGAUCCGAAGUAAUUCGAGCUGUAAUUGUACGUACAUGUAAAGAAUUCAAAUGCGAAGAUGGUAUAAUAAUACGCUAUGAUGACAAUGCAGCAGUUAUCAUUGAUCAAAAAGGAAAUCCAAAAGGAACUCGAGUUUUUGGCGCGAUUGCCGAAGAAUUGAGAGAAUUGAAUUUUACUAAAAUAGUUUCAUUAGCUCCUGAAGUAUUAUAAACACUAGUAGACGAGAUAUAGAUCAAAGAAAAAAUUAGUAGAUUGUGUCUCACGUAUAUGCUUUAAAAUCUAAAAUUAAAAGAAAAAGGAAAACAUGUUGAUUAUAGAAAAAUUAGGAGGAACCUAGAAUUAGAGUCUUAUGGGCAAGGACACUAUUGCUGAUUUACUAACCUCUAUAAGAAACGCAGACAUGAAUAAAAAAGGAACUGUUCGAGUAGUAUCCACAAAUAUUACCGAAAACAUUGUUAAAAUACUUCUACGAGAGGGUUUUAUUGAAAGUGUUCGGAAACAUCAGGAAAGUAACAGAUAUUUCUUGGUUUCAACUUUGCGACAUCAAAAGAGAAAGACUAGAAAGGGAAUAUAUAGAACUAGAACCUCUUUAAAGCGUAUCAGCCGACCUGGCUUACGAAUUUAUGUCAACUAUCAAGGAAUUCCUAAGGUUUUGGGCGGAAUGGGAAUUGCUAUUCUUUCUACCUCUCGAGGUAUAAUGACAGAUCGAGAAGCUCGACUAAACAGAAUUGGGGGAGAAGUCUUAUGUUAUAUAUGGUAAUGGCCCCACCUAUAGUACCCGAAUUCUAUCUCGAACUUCCUAUUUUGAAAAUAAAAAUUGAAAAAUAGGAGAAAAAAAAAUAUGACAGAAAAAAAAAAACCGAGAGAAGCAAAAGUCACUUUCGAAGGUUUAGUUACGGAAGCCCUACCCAACGGAAUGUUCCGCGUUCGCCUAGAGAAUGACACCAUCAUCCUGGGCUAUAUUUCAGGAAAGAUCCGGUCUAGCUCUAUACGAAUACUGAUGGGGGAUAGGGUCAAAAUUGAAGUAAGUCGUUAUGACUCCAGCAAGGGGCGUAUAAUUUAUAGACUUCCCCAUAAGGAUUCGAAGCGUACCGAAGACUCGAAGGAUACUGAAGAUUUGAAGGAUACCAAAGAUUCAAAGGAUUAGGUUUUUCUAGGGUAAUAACUUCCAAGUUUCAAAAUUUAAGUGAAGAGACUCAUUUUUUCCAAAAGAAUAGAUUCAUAGUUUAAGAAAGGAAUACCUAUAUAUGAAAAUAAGAGCUUCCGUUCGUAAAAUUUGUACAAAAUGUCGACUGAUUCGCAGGCGUGGACGAAUUAGAGUCAUUUGUUCCAAUCCGAAGCAUAAACAAAGACAGGGGUAAUCUUUCGAAAAAGGAGCUUUUCUUUCUAAAAAGUAAAAAAAAAGUACCUACGGAAAUGUCCAAAUUCCAAAUAAAAAAAUGAGAGUAAAGGAUAUAUUUUACCCUGAAACGGAUAUCUUUGUAUCUUUUUUUCUUUUUGUUAUUUCUAACUCAUAUUUAUGAGAUAAUAAAAUAUGACAAAAGCUAUACCAAAAAUAGGUUCACGUAAGAAAGUGCGUAUUGGUUUGCGUAGGAAUGCCCGUUUUAGUUUACGGAAGAGUGCACGUAGAAUAACAAAAGGGGUUAUUCAUGUUCAAGCCAGUUUCAACAAUACCAUUAUAACCGUUACAGACCCACAAGGUCGGGUGGUUUUCUGGUCCUCUGCAGGUACUUGUGGAUUCAAAAGCUCACGAAAAGCAUCACCCUAUGCUGGUCAAAGAACAGCAGUAGAUGCUAUUCGUACAGUGGGUUUGCAACGAGCAGAAGUUAUGGUAAAAGGUGCUGGUAGCGGAAGAGACGCCGCAUUACGAGCCAUUGCUAAAAGUGGUGUACGGUUAAGUUGUAUACGCGAUGUAACACCUAUGCCGCAUAAUGGAUGUCGACCUCCUAAAAAAAGACGUCUGUAAAAGAAUUAAACCGCUUUCAAGAGAAAUAAACGAUUCAAUGAUCAAAUAAUAAUACUAGUCCGUUAUGGUUCGAGAGGAGGUAACAGGAUCCACCCAAACACUAGAGUGGAAGUGUGUUGAAUCAAGAGUAGAUAGUAAGCGUCUUUAUUAUGGUCGUUUCAUUCUGUCCCCGCUUAGAAAAGGUCAAGCGGAUACUGUCGGUAUUGCCUUGCGAAGAGCUUUACUUGGAGAAAUAGAAGGAACGUGUAUCACACGCGCCAAAUUUGGGAAUGUGCCACACGAAUAUUCUACAAUAGUAGGUAUUGAAGAAUCCAUACAAGAAAUUUUACUAAAUUUGAAAGAAAUUGUAUUGAGAAGUAAUCUCUAUGGAGUUAGAGACGCAUCAAUUUGCGUCAAAGGUCCUAGAUACAUAACCGCUCAAGAUAUAAUCUUACCGCCUUCCGUAGAAAUCGUUGAUACGACACAACCUAUAGCUAACUUGAGAGAGCCGAUUGAUUUCUAUAUUGAGUUACAGAUCAAGAGAGAUCGCGGAUAUCAUACGGAACUCAGAAAGAACUCUCAAGAUGGAAGUUAUCCUAUAGAUGCUGUAUCCAUGCCUGUUCGAAAUGUGAAUUAUAGUAUUUUUUCUUGUGGGAAUGGAAAUGAAAAACAUGAGAUACUUUUUCUAGAAAUAUGGACGAAUGGAAGUUUAACUCCUAAAGAAGCGCUUUAUGAAGCUUCUCGUAAUUUGAUUGAUUUAUUUCUUCCUUUUCUACACGCAGAGGAAGAGGGCACUAGUUUCGAAGAAAAUAAAAACAGAUUUACUCCACCCCUUUUAACCUUUCAAAAAAGAUUCACUAAUCUAAAGAAAAACAAAAAAGGAAUUCCAUUGAAUUGUAUUUUUAUUGAUCAAUUAGAAUUGCCUUCUAGAACGUAUAAUUGUCUCAAAAGGGCCAAUAUACAUACACUAUUGGACCUUUUGAGUAAGACUGAAGAGGAUCUUAUGCGAAUUGAAAGUUUUCGUAUGGAAGAUGGAAAACUUAUAUGGGACACUCUCGAGAAGCAUCUCCCAAUUGAUUUACUUAAGAACAAGUUCUCGCUUUAAAUCCAUUGCAAUUUUUUCCUCUUUUUCUUUUUUUUUGAAUUAGAAUAAAAAGAAAAAAAAGCAAUUUUGCAUCUUUGGCACAAUCUAUAUUUUCGCGAAAUGGAUCAUAAUAAAAUGGAUUUUAGGUAUCUAGGGAAGAUUCACUUGGAAGUAACUAUUUCCUAGAUACCCAUGCAGGGGGCUUCGCGGUUGAAUGAAUCAACUCGAAAAAUCCCUAAAAAAGACCUAAAGUUAAGGAUUUAUCAAUGGGUAAUGUUGCUCCAAUACCUAACCAAAGAGCUACUGCAGUACCGAGUAAAAAAACGGUCGUAGCUACUGGGCGACGAAAUGGAUUUUGGAAUUUAUUGACAUUCUCUAGAAAGGGUACUGUCAAUAAGCCCGUUGGCACAGAAACCAUUAAGAGAACGCCCAAUAACUUAUUGGGUACUGUACGGAGUAUUUGAAAUACGGGAAAGAAGUACCACUCGGGUAAUAUUUCCAGAGGAGUUGCAAACGGAUCCGCCGGUUCACCAAUCAUUGACGGCUCGAGAACCGCUAAACCUACAUUACACGCAAUAGUACCUAGAAUUACUACUGGAAAAAUGUAUAAAAGAUCGUUGGGCCACGCGGGUUCCCCGUAAUAAUUAUGUCCCAUCCCUUUAGCUAAUUUUGCUCUUAAUACAGGAUCAUUUAAGUCAGGUUUCUUUGUUAUUGGGAUAGGUGAAUUCUUUAGGAUCCAUCCCCCAAAGGAACCGGACAUGAGAAUUUUUCAUCAUCCGGCUCGAGCAAGAAUGAAAGAAAUAAGACCGUGGAGAAUCCACAAUAGAAUAGGGUAUAUAAUGACUCAAUGACUCAAGGCAAGAAAAGCUUUAUCAGAUUAUCUUUUCCGAAGUUGCGCCUAUAACUACUCAUUGAAAAGAAUCCUAUUCUUAUGCGUAAAUGCUCAAUAUCCAAGUGGGCUUACAAAUUUGAUCAUGAUCAAUUGCUUUGUGGAUUGUCUCUUGAUUAGUUGGUGUUUAUCCCCUCAAUAUCGCAAGUUUCUUACAUCCAAACAAAGUAUUUACUUGUUACUAAUAAAAAAUCAAAAAGUUUAGCCUACGUUCUUCCUUAGAUCCCUUCUUUUACUCCGAUAGUAUUGCGGAUCGAAAUCGAUGCAAAGAAAAUGAAUGCAUUUCCAUACUAUAAUAAAAAGUAUGUGUAAUAAAUAUAGAAUUGGAUCAUAUCACAUGACUUAUUCCAUUUAUACUCUAUGGGAUCUUACGGAGCCUGCUCAUGGAUGACAUGGUUGGGGUAUGAUCAUAGAAAAUAUUCUCCUCGAGUGAACCAGCCUAUCCUUCCUAGAUAGGGGACUUACGUGUUGAUUGGAUGCGGAGACACCUUUGGUCGUGAAUUCUAAUGUGGCAGAUCCAAUUCUCUAUCUGCAUGGCCAAAUUAAUAAUUCAAGUCACACACUCCCAUAAUCCGCCUUAUUUUCUUUCGUAAAAUUAACUUCAACUAUAACUAUUUGUAUCAAAAUAGUUCGAAGUUGAAGAGAAGUAUCCAAAUGACAUGUCUUAUUGUAAAAUAAGAUAUGUUUGUAGCAAUGAAAUACCACAACCUACCCUAUAUGAUAUAUGAGAAUUAGAAUUCUCUAUGAUAUGCUUUCCCUAUAAAGGACCCGAAAUACCUUGCUUACGUAUCAUUGGAAAGUGCAUUAACAUAAAUACGGCAGUAAGCAGAGGUAGUACAAAGGUAUGUAAACUAUAAAAACGAGUCAAAGUGGAUUGGCCCACACUAGCACUUCCACGUAAUAAUUCCACUAAAGGGGAUCCUAUUACUGGAAUCGCGUCAGGUACACCUGUCACAAUUUUGACUGCCCAAUAACCAAUUUGAUCCCAAGGCAAAGAAUAACCAGUUACACCAAAUGAUGCAGUCAAUACAGCCAAAACCACACCUGUGACCCAAGUUAAUUCACGGGGUUUUUUAAAUCCACCUGUGAGAUACACACGAAAUACGUGCAGGAUCAUCAUUAGAACCAUCAUACUUGCUGACCAUCGAUGAACUGAUCGGAUUAACCAACCAAAGUUGGCCUCCGUCAUUAUAUAUUGAACGGAGGAAAAAGCCUCUGUAACGGUUGGUCGGUAGUAAAAAGUCAUAGCAAAACCGGUAGCGACUUGUACUAGAAAACAAGUAAGUGUAAUUCCCCCUAAACAAUAAAAUAUGUUUACAUGAGGAGGAACAUAUUUACUAGUUAUAUCAUCAGCAAUUGCCUGAAUCUCAAGACGUUCCUCAAACCAAUCAUAUACUUUAUUGAGAUAGGUAACUAGCCCGAUUCCCCCUCCGAGAACCGUAUAUGAAAAUUUCAUCUCGUACGGCUCAAGCAGAAACACACAAAUUUUCAACGGAUAUUAGAAAAAAAAGUUCAAAACUUCACCAGCCACGGUAUUCGAUCGAUUUGCCUUGAAGAUAUGAAAUAAGAAAAAUCCAGAAUUUCUUCUUUGUGAUGAUAAUGCCAAAAAAUCUCAAGUUGGCUCAUCUGUCUUUCUUUCCCGUAUGUUGAUCAUUAGAGGCCUCUUGACUUUUCUCUUCCCUAUUUUUUAUUUAUUUGAUUUUUUUACUUGUAAAAAAAUCAAAUAAAAAUUUAUAGUGGUUUUCUGAUAGAAAUUUUCUUGUUGCGAUCCUAUGAAUCAGUUCAAUUAAAACCUUAGAUUCAUACUAGAGCCACGAUGAUUGAGUCUCAAGCUAAACAAAAGGCAAGGGUUCUUCGAAUAAAAACCGCUUGAUGAUCAUUUAUUGAAAGAGAAAAAAAUUGUCUUUUGGGCAAACAAAAUUGGAAGGAAGAAAAUUUCUUUUUUUAUUAAGAACUACUUGAAUUUUUUUUUUCAGUCUGGUUGCGAGGUCUAAAUAGUGAGUAUGAAUCAUAGUUCCAUUUUUUUUCUUGAUCCACUCUAUGUAUUUCGUGUUCCAGAUACUAGAAUAAAUAAUAUCCGACGAAUUAGAAUCAUCUUGAUAGAGAUAACAGGCCCUUUCUAUGUAUUAUCAAUAGGAUCAAUUCUAACAAGUCACACACUCAUAUUCCAGAGAUACCGAAACAAAAAAAUCCACGGUCGAACUACCAGAAUGUCUAGAAAUGUGAAGCUUAAAGUAGAAAGGCUUUUUUUGGAUGGAAAAACUAUGACUUCAUAGUUUUUGUUAGUAGAAACCUAAUUCGUUAAAAUUCCGUCCAGUAAAACAGAAGAAUUAUAAAUUUCUAAAAUGAUAGAUAGGAAUAUCGCGAAUAAAGCCAUUGCGACCCCCAUAAAAGGAGUAGUCCCCCAACCCGGAGCUACUUUCCCAUAUUCCGAAUUCAAGGGUUUCAAUAAACUACCUGCGCCAGUCCGUUUUGGCUUAGGUCUAGAACUAUCUUCAACGGUUUGUGUAGCCAUAAAUUCUAUUUAAUCAUUGGUGUUGACUUUGUAUACUAUUCCGUUGUAGUUGUAAAUACACGAUCUUUUCCUAGAUCCAUUGUAAUCUUGAAAUUCUAUAAAAAUGGAAACAGCAACUUUAGUCGCCAUCUCCAUAUCUGGUUUACUUGUAAGCUUUACUGGGUAUGCCUUAUAUACCGCGUUUGGGCAACCCUCUCAACAAUUAAGAGAUCCAUUCGAAGAACAUGGGGACUAAUUGAAGUAAGAAGUCUCCCCUCUGGGGGACUUCUUACUUCAAUGAAAUUAUUUAUUUCCUUCAAUUAAAUUAUUUCAUUUUUUAGUCGGAACCUUAGGUGGUUCUCGGAAGAAGAUAGCGAAAAAAAUUAUCCCUAAAGUCGAAACUAAAAGGAACGUAUAAACCAAUGCUUCCAUAGAUUCGAUCCUGGUUUAUUUACAAUUAUAACUUCCACACCUAUUCACUUAUCAUUUGGGAGCAUUUCCCAUAUAAAAAAAGAAAAAGAGUCAAAGAAAGGACAGGAGAUGUUUCUCAUGUCAAAUCAAAAAAGAGAGGUGAAAGAUACCAUAGCAAUGUGGUAUCAGGCUGCCUGUCUCUUUGUAGUUGGAUCUCCAACUUUUUGGAAUGUUCCAAAUUCAACUUGAGCAUCCAAGUCUGGAUCAAUACCAGCAAAAACAUCUCGGAACAAGGUUCGAGCGCCAUGCCAAAUGUGUCCGAAAAAGAAGAGCAAAGCAAAGGUAGCAUGACCAAAAGUGAACCAACCCCUUGGACUGCUGCGAAAAACACCAUCUGAUUUCAAAGUAGCUCGAUCUAAUUCAAAAAUUUCCCCUAAUUGAGCACGCCGCGCAUAUUUUUUUACAGUAGCAGGAUCAGAAUAACUUACUCCAUUAAGUUCGCCACCAUAGAACUCCACCGUUACCCCUACUUGUUCAACACUAUAUUUGGAUUCUGCUCUUCUAAAAGGAACGUCCGCUCUCACAAUUCCCUCUUCAUCUACCAAAACUACCGGAAAUGUUUCAAAAAAAGUAGGCAUACGACGUACAAAAAGCUCGCGUCCUUCUUUAUCUCUAAAGACGGGAUGUCCUAACCAUCCAACAGCUAUUCCAUCCCCAUUGUCCAUUGAGCCUGCUCUGAAUAAUCCCCCCUUUGCCGGAUUAUUACCAAUAUAAUCAUAAAAGGCUAAUUUUUCGGGAAUUUUAGACCAAGCUUCUGACAAACUAAGAUUUUCGGCUAACCCAUCGCUAACUCUUCGAUAUAUUUCUUGCUGAAAGUAUCCCUGAUCCCACUGAUAACGAGUAGGCCCAAAUAAUUCGAUUGGGGUAGUUGCCGAUCCAUACCACAUAGUUCCGGCAACUACGAAAGCAGCAAAAAAAACAGCAGCGAUACUACUGGAAAGUACAGUUUCAAUAUUGCCCAUACGUAAUCCUUUGUAUAGACGUUGCGGCGGACGGACACUAAGAUGGAAUAGGCCCGCUAAUAUGCCCAAUGUACCCGCAGCAAUAUGAUGCGAAGCUAUUCCUCCCGGAACGAAAGGAUCAAAACCUUCUGCACCCCACGCAGGAUUUACAGCUUGUACUUUUCCAGUUAGUCCGUAAGGAUCGGACACCCAUAUCCCAGGGCCAUAUAAACCCGUUACAUGAAAUGCACCAAAGCCAAAACAAGCCACCCCUGCAAGAAAUAAAUGAAUUCCAAAGAUCUUGGGCAAAUCCAAAGAAGGUUUUCCCGUCCGCUCAUCACAGAAUAUUUCUAGGUCCCAAUAUACCCAAUGCCAGAUAGCUGCCAAGAAACACAAGCCAGAAAACACAAUAUGCGCACCUGCUACACCUUCAUAACUCCAAAUACCCGGAUUCGUUACAGUUCCUCCUGAAAUACUCCAACCACCCCACGAAUUGGUUAUUCCUAAACGAGUCAUGAAGGGGAUGACGAACAUACCUUGUCUCCACAUUGGAUCCAGAACAGGAUCAGAGGGAUCAAAAACCGCUAAUUCGUAUAAAGCCAUCGAGCCAGCCCAACCAGAAACUAGAGCUGUGUGCAUUAUAUGCACCGAAAGCAAUCGACCCGGAUCAUUCAAUACGACAGUAUGAACACGAUACCAAGGCAAACCCAUGGAAAUACCCCUUUAGCAAAGAAAAAUAGACACGAUGUCGCUUUAUUUUAUCGCAUUGGAAAAAACUAUCCCUAUGUACCUAACCCUUCCAGGGGAUUCUAUGUCAGAAAGCGUAAAUAUUUAUUUCAUUCCAUUAAAAAUAACAAGCCAAUUCUGUUUGUAAGAAGAAAGAGAAGCAGAUCUAUUCUAUACUCGAUAAGUGCCAAUAUGCAAUGGGUAGCUUGGGCUAUUUGGGAAAACUAAGAAUAGAUCCUUAAUCCCUCUUUGUUUAUCAUUCGAAUCACGGAUUCCUUUUUCUUUAUUCAAUCUGUCUUACCUUCCUUAUAUGUAUAAUCUUUCAAUCUAUGUAUUAAUAGAAUCUAUAGUAUUCUUAUAGAAUAAGAAAAAAAUGAAGAUAAUAAACUCUGGAUUCUUUCUUUCUCUUCCAUUCUUACGUUUCCAUAUUAAAGUGUAGUUUUCUUACUUAAAUUUAAUAAUAUUAAUCUAAUAUGCCCAUUGGUGUUCCAAAAGUACCUUACCGGAUUCCCGGAGAUGAAGAAGCGACUUGGGUUGACUUAUACAAUGUUAUGUAUCGAGAAAGGACACUUUUUUUAGGUCAAGAGAUUCGUUGCGAGAUCACGAAUCAUAUUACGGGUCUGAUGGUAUAUCUCAGUAUAGAAGAUGGAAUUAGCGAUAUUUUUUUGUUUAUAAACUCCCCUGGCGGGUGGCUAAUCUCAGGAAUGGCGAUUUUUGAUACGAUGCAAACGGUGACACCUGAUAUAUAUACAAUAUGCCUCGGAAUAGCCGCCUCCAUGGCCUCCUUCAUUCUGCUUGGAGGAGAACCCACCAAGCGUAUAGCAUUCCCUCACGCUAGGAUUAUGCUUCACCAACCUGCUAGUGCUUAUUAUCGGGCAAGGACACCAGAAUUUUUACUAGAAGUGGAAGAGUUACACAAAGUUCGCGAAAUGAUCACAAGGGUUUAUGCACUAAGAACAGGCAAGCCUUUUUGGGUUGUAUCCGAAGACAUGGAAAGGGAUGUUUUUAUGUCAGCAGACGAAGCCAAAGCUUAUGGACUUGUCGAUAUUGUAGGGGAUGAAAUGAUUGACGAGCACUGCGAUACUGAUCCAGUGUGGUUUCCAGAAAUGUUUAAGGAUUGGUAGUGGCUGGAUUUCUUGUAAAUUUAUUUCAAACCUAAAUUCGGAUUUUAUGCUAUUUUAUAGAAAAUAGAAAUACUUCAUGAUGAUGAAUCAUCAGGUUAAGAUCGAUCUAAACCAAUCCAUUUUUUCUAUAUACAUACGACAUGCCAACGGUUAAACAACUUAUUAGAAAUGCAAGACAGCCAAUACGAAAUGCUAGAAAAUCGGCCGCGCUUAAGGGAUGUCCUCAGCGUCGAGGAACAUGUGCUAGGGUGUAUGUGCGACUCGUUCAGAUCAUGAGUUCAAACAAAUAAGAAAAUUUUUGAAGUAUCCAUGAUCGGUACCAAUGAAUCGGAUAGAGCUUCUCUAUCCUAGAUUUCUAUGGUAUAUGGAAUUUAUGGUUUCCUUUGGUGCAAAUUCAAUCAUCUAGAUUGGAAUUGCAAGAAGCAAUUCCUCCAUUGGUAGCAAAUGGUUAUCCAUUAAGCGGAGGAAAUAGUAAUAAAAAGAAAAAGGUUUCUGCUCCUUUAUCUUAAAAGAACGGACUAAAGGGCCAGCUACUUAGUCAACUUUCAUAAUUAAAUACCGUCACUGUAUGAAUAACUCUUAUUGUGAAAAGAGCUAUUUACUCUAUAAUGGAUAGGUAGAGCCAAAGAAUGUGAACUAUACAAGUUCACAAUACCUUUUGAUGAAAUGAAAGAAAGGGCUCCGGUGUAUAGAGAGGGCCUCGCCGUUUAAAAGGGAACCAUAGAAACGAUGGAACCCACUGUUUUUUUAAUAUCGUUAGAAUUUGUUAUUUCUAUGCGAAAUAAGUGAAGAGAAUAGAAUAAAAAAUCGUGGUUGGGAAGGUUAUAGUAGCAAAAGCCAUUGGAAUUAAUAUUUUAUAUAUCGGAAUAAUUCGUUUUGUUAUUAAUGGGAAAAAAGAGGGUUAAAAAGAAGAGAAAUCAUUAGUUAUUCAUUAAGGUUAAUUUGAUUCAAUGACCAGAGUUCCGCGAGGAUAUAUAGCUCGAAGACGACGAACAAAAAUGCGUUCAUUUGCCUCAAACUUUAGAGGGGCUCAUUUAAGACUUAAUCGAAUGAUUACUCAACAAGUAAGAAGAGCUUUUGUUUCUUCUCAUCGAGAUAGAGGCAGGCAAAAGAGGGAUUUUCGUCGUUUGUGGAUCACUCGGAUAAACGCAGCAACACGGGUAUAUAACGUAUUCGAUAGUUAUAGUAAAUUAAUACACAAUCUGUACAAGAAGGAAUUGAUUCUUAAUCGUAAAAUGCUUGCACAAGUAGCUGUAUCAAAUCCAAAUAAUCUUUACACGAUUUCCAAUAAAAUAAAGACCAUCAAUUAAAGGGAUAAAAAAGUAAUAUACAGGAAUAAUUAAAAACGAAUUCCCGGAGAGGGAACUCCGGGAAGAUACAAUAAAUUAAGAUUAAGUGGUAGGAAUCAACGAGCAUGUUGCAAUAAAUAAAAAAACUAUUUCUUUUUUCCCAUUUUUCUUUCUUAUAACAAACACAAGAAUCAAAACUGGAUUACUUUCUUUAUAUAUGAGUCUGACCCUUUCGAAUAAAACAUCAACAAUCGGAACUUAAGUUUCGAUUGUUGUUUCUUAAAUUCUGGUUGGAGUUUCUUAAGUUUCGAUUGGAAUUGAACUUUUGUGUUAAUUGAGGAAUAUGUCUAUUUUUUCUGUGUCUAGGACCAGUAAUUAUUGAAAUUGACUGGGCUUGAAAUUGCUUCUCAUUCUCAUAGUUACGAAAUGGUAAGAAAGAUAAAAUACGAGCCUGUUUUAUAGCAAGAGUAAUUAAUCGUUGUUGUUUCAAGGUUAAUCUAUUUAUUCGUCUGGAUAAUAUUUUUCCUUGUUCACUAAUAAAUCGAUUAAUUAAACUCAUGUUUCUAUAAUCAAUUCGAUCCCCCGGGCCUAUUCGAGAACGCCUACGAAAAGGUUGUUUGGAUUUACGAAAAGGUUGUUUGAAUUUACGAAAAGGUUGCUUUGAUUUAUGAAAAGUUUGUUUGGAUUUACGAAAGGGUUGCUUAAAUUUAUGAAAAGGUUGUUUAGAUAUAUACAUGAUUUAUUCCUUAUUUAAAAAUUUGAAAAAAAAAAUGGAUUUCUUUAUUUUAUUAAUUUUGGAUCCAGAAGAAGUAGUCUUUCUUUGGUCCAUAUAUUAUUUAAUUCAUAUACUAUAUAUAAAAAUAAAAAUAUAAACCCUCUAUACAAUACAUAUGAAAUAAUAUCUACCUAAAAUCAGAUGAGUUGAUUUGUAUUUUGUGUUCCAUCUAUGUUCUAUAUAUUUAAUAAGAAGUUCUUACUCUUUCUGUUCUUUGGAAAAAUUGAACACACGAUGCUCCUAUUUCUUUAUUUCAUUAUGAGUCGUAUGCUUGCGACAAUAACGACAAAAUUUUCUUAAUUCUAAUUGUCCGGGUGUAUUGUGGCGAUUCUUUUGAGUACUAUAUCUAGAAAUCCCCGUCGAUUCCUUAUUGGUACCCUUUCGAACACAAUUAAUACAUUCCAAAAUAACUCGGAUUCUAACAUCUUUGCCCUUGGCCAUGAACCUCCUUUCCUUUUUGGAUCGACUUAACUUAAUUCUUAUACCUAUUCUUUUAUUCUUCUAUUUUGGAUCCAAAGAAGAAGAAUAAAAUCCAUAGAAGCUCCUAACUAAAAAUGCGAUUUCUAAAGAUUUUGUUGUAAUUCUUCGAAUUCUCUAACGAAUCCAAUAGAAUAAAAAAAUUUUGAAAUUCGUAAAUUAAGUAAUAAAAAAUAGAGAAAUAAUUAAAGAAUACAAUCCUUAUCCAUCUUUUCUUUCUUUUUGCUUCAUAUACUAAAAAAGAAUUCAAAAAGGGAAAAUUUUCGUCAUGUCAUGUCACGAAGAAUUCUAUCUCUCGCAUAGGAAUAACUAGAAUUAAACUCUCGCAUAGGAAUAACUAGAAUUAAAAAAAAGGGAAUGACAAAGCAUCUGGGAAUAAACGAUUGAUUUCUAUCAAUAAACCUGCUAAAGCCCCAAACCAUAGAGUACUUAGCACGGGUGCUACAGAGAGAUAUGUUUUUAUAUCCCGCAUUGAAAAUCCUCCUUCCGUAUUGGAAUACAUAUAUGAUCAGAUACUCUUGCCCAAGAUCCUUUGUAUUUCUUUUGUUUAGGCGAAAUUCCUAACUAAAAAAACAAAAUCAAUAUUCUAUAUAUAUAGAAUGAUUCAUAAUAGACGAGAUUUUCCUAUCCCUAAAAAAGAUGACCCCUUCUUCCUAUACAUUACUAAGGAAUAGGAAUCGUUCUUUUCUAGGUGAAAUUCGACUGGAUUUUAGAUGUAUACCCUUCCCUUCCUUGAUUAUAUGAGACCAAAAACAAGAAAUGACAAGAAAGUUCUAUAUAGAUAGAGAAAUAGAAGAAAAUUACGAUGUGGAAAACAAGAAAGGAAUUAUGUACAAUCCCCUUGUAGAACAAUUUGGAAAAGGGAUGUAGCGCAGCUUGGUAGCGCGUUUGUUUUGGGUACAAAAUGUCACAGGUUCAAAUCCUGUCAUCCCUACCUAUUAAUUCUCUCUUCUUUAUGGGCAGUAGUGGGGAGAUCAAUUAAAGUGGGUAUAACUUGAAUUUGUGGAUACUAUACGGACGUGAGACACGUUAGGAGUAGAAAAGGAUUUGCUUUUUGUUUUGAGAGCGCUCUUAGUUCAGUUUGGUAGAACGCGGGUCUCCAAAACCCGAUGUCGUAGGUUCAAAUCCUACAGAGCGUGAUUCCAUAUAUCUUAUGUCAAAACAGAGUAAAAUAACUUAAAAAAACAAAGUAGAAUUGCAAUUCCAAUUUGACCUCCUCCAGACCAGAGAAGAGAGGAGGUCAAUCAAAAAAGAAAUAUUACUCAAUCAAAGAUCCAACUGAUCCCCACGCCUGUAUUGCAAAUACGCAGUCACGAAUAAUCCCGCUAAAGUAAUAGGAAUUAGGCCUAAGACGAUUCCAAAUAGAAAAACUUCAAUCAUUUCGAUUUGUUCGAGGGGAUAAAAAAAAAAGAGGUACGAUCUAUCUCUAAAUAAUAGUCUAAAUUAUCCACGAAUCUCAAUGACCAAGAAAAGAAUUGAUAAUUAGUGUGGAAAAGAGUCUAGAAUACCAGGAAUCCAAAAGAAAGAUUAUUCUUUUCUGACUUAUUCAUUCAAUUCAUUUCAAAUAAGACGUAUCUUGUUCAAGCCAAUAAAUAGAGCUGGGGUUAUAGUUAAAGCAGCCAGUAGAAAACCGAAAUAACUAGUUAUAGUAAGCAUGAAGGGGUUAAAUUCCAUUUAUUUUUUUACUACACUACAUAUGUUGGUAAAGCACUUACCUAAGUUAUGGAAAAUUCAUAAUUCAUCGGUUAUUUUAGAUAAUACUAAAAAACAAGAUAGAGUGAGAUACAAAAGUGUAAAAGAAAAUCGAUUCAUCAGACGGGACAUGAGUCCCUAAUGCCGAAUCAAGAGAUUUGUUGUGGAAUUUGUCAGUAAAGUAAUAAUAUUAAAAACUAGAUCAUCUAACCCCAUUGAAAAAUAAAAUUGGGUUUUCGGGGAAAUUUUGGAAAAAAAGAUUAAUAAAGAAUUUAAUUUGAAAAAAGUUCUUUCUAUUUCGGAUUAUUUCUUUUUCAAUAGGAUGGAUUUCAUCCUUUUUUUGGAACAAACGGUCAAAUAUUCCCCUAUUCCUUCUUAUCAAAUAUUCCCCUAUUCCUUCUUAUUUUAACUCAUUGUAUUCCAUAUGGAAUAAGAGGAGAAGAAAAGCAUUCCACGACCCCCGAAGGGCCCCCUGAAAAAGGGAACUCUUCCUUGAAUUUACUUUUUUUUAUUUAUUUUUAUUCGUUUUUUGAACCCCAACCAAAGUUGAUUCGAAGUUACUUCAAUUAUCCUUUUCUUUUAAGUUCUUUUCGUAAAGUUCCAUGCUUGCAGUUUGGUCAAGAAAGUUAGACUUAAUCCAACAAACAAGACAAGGAUUGAUUACGAAUCUUGAUUCUUCAAAGAAUCUAUUCUGUUUCUUUCAUAACGGAUUAUCUACUAUUCGAUUUUCUAUUUAUUAGAUAUUAUUUUAUGCUAACCAAUUUCAUUCCUUAAAGGGAAAGGUUGGAUUCGAAUGAAACUUUUAUUUAACUAAAAAAAGGGAUAGAUUUUGCAUAUACUUAUCCUUGUAUUGCGUCAAUAUGAGAAUAUCCUUUCUAAAUUCUUUAUCUUAUUGAUCAUUAACUUAGGUUUUCCCAAGAUCUUGGCCGCUAUUAGAAAUGAAAUUAUUCUACUAUUCCGAAGACAAUGAAAAUAAGUAGGACUCCAAAAAUUGUGGGGUUCUAUUGCUGCCUUGAAUAACAUGUAAUUUCCCUAUAGACAAGGAACAAAGAAGAGAAAAAAGGAAUUCUGUUUCGGGACCAAGCAAAACUGGAUUGCUGUGCCAUAGGAAGGAUAGCUAUACUAAUUCGGUAUACUCAAAAUACACCUUUGGUACAAAAUUGACAAUCUCACAAGGAUGAAAUAUCAGUAAUUUUCUAUUUACUGGUCGAUCCCAUCUUUUACGGAAUCAAUUCCUUUUUUGAAUGUACAAAAAUUUGAGGAGCUCAGCAUGUCUGGAAGCACGGGAGAACGUUCUUUUGCUGAUAUUAUUACCAGUAUUCGAUAUUGGGUUAUUCAUAGCAUUACUAUACCUUCCCUAUUCAUUGCGGGUUGGUUAUUUGUCAGUACGGGUUUAGCUUAUGACGUGUUUGGAAGUCCUCGACCAAACGAGUAUUUCACGGAAAGCCGACAAGGAAUUCCAUUAAUAACCGACCGUUUUGAUUCUUUAGAACAACUAGAUGAAUUUAGUAGAUCCUUUUAGGAGGCCCCCAAUGACCAUAGAUCGAACCUAUCCUAUUUUUACAGUGCGAUGGCUGGCUGUUCACGGAUUAGCUGUACCCACGGUUUUUUUCUUGGGAUCAAUAUCAGCAAUGCAGUUCAUCCAACGAUAAACCAAAUUCCAACUAUAGAACUAUGACACAAUCAAACCCGAAUGAACAAAAUGUUGAAUUGAAUCGUACCAGUCUAUACUGGGGUUUAUUACUCAUUUUUGUACUUGCUGUUUUAUUUUCCAAUUAUUUCUUCAAUUGAGAGAAAGAAAGAGAGUAGUAAUAAUUCUCUUAUCCCAUUUGGAAGGAUACCAUCCUUAUAACUAUCCAUGACUGUUUUUGUCUCUAGCAUGACCACUUGAGAAAAUGUGGAGGAAAGUAGGGGAAAUGGCCGAUACUACUGGAAGAAUUCCUCUUUGGCUGAUAGGUACUGUAACUGGUAUUCUUGUGAUUGGUUUAAUAGGUGUUUUCUUUUACGGUUCGUAUUCUGGAUUGGGUUCAUCUCUAUAGUAAUCGGAGGAUCCAGAUUGUAAACAUGAAAAAGUAGGAGCUUAGCGGGUCCUUACCCCCCUUUAUCUGAUUAGAGCGGAAAGGGCCCGCAGAAUUCUUAUAACGCGAUUUUAUUCCAUAAUCUAGAAAUUGGUUACCUAAUUUCUAUUUGUAAAAAUAACAAAGAGAAAACCUUUGCUCUGAUGGUUAGAAUCCCUCUAUUUAUUCUUUUGUUUGUUAAUGAUGUUAGUGAAGCAAUCCAUCGGUCCAUUUAAAGCCCUCGCCUUUCACCCAUAAAAUGGAUUCACUCUUAUGAAGCAACAAGAAAGAGGGGAGAGGAUCCAGUAUUUUAUUCCAUGAAGGAAGUAUCCUGCAAAUCAUUGAUUUAGUUUCGAGUAAUAAACUAAUAAAACCUUAAUCAAAACUACUCAACUAGCCUAAACCACCCUUAAAUGGGAGGGUAUACAUUUUUUUUUACCAAAUUUCUGUAAGUUCGAAGUUGAACUUAAUUGAAAAAGUCAAGCAAUUCCAUUUGCUCAAAAUAAAUUUGUCCCCCGCCAUACUUUCUUUCCCUCUGUUUGUCCACUACCGCGCCCGAACCUAAACAAAGGAAGUCCAAAAGAUAGACCCGAAUAAAGAAUAACUAGUAAUCUUUGACAAAACAAAUAAGAAGAAAAAUGAUUCUUACUUCGAUACAAGAAAAGAAGAAUCGACACAAGAAAAAGGCAAAAAAGCCUUUUUCUUGUGCCCAAUAGAGGAUUAAGAAGACCCGCAAUUCCUCCUAAAAGGACUUGUUCCUUUUAUUGUUCUCGCCUCUGCCUUGGAUCCUCUUCUUUUGCAUGAGAUAGAAAUAAGGAAUUCCAGAAAUCGAGGCUUUUUUCUAACUUGAUGGUAAGAAAUCCCAGGAUCUAGAAAUUCAUUUCGUACAAUUGAACCUUUUCAAACUGUUUCUUUUUGAGAACCAAAAAAACUUGUGCCAAAAUAACAGAUGCGAAGAAGAACAAAAGGCCUUGGACGCGCAAUGGAUCCUGAAGCACUAUUUCUGCAUCCCCCUGACCAAACCCUCCGACAUUAGGAUUGCUUGUUAAUGGUUGAUCAAGCUUGAUCGAUUCCCCCUCUGAAACUAGAAGUUCUGGCCCGGGAGGUAUAAUAUCAAUCACUUGGCGUCCAUCCGACGCAUCGACUAUGGAUAUUUCAUAUCCCCCCUUUUCUUUACGUAGUAUUUUUUUUACUAUACCUGUUGACGUAGCAUUAUAGACCGUAUUGUUACUCUUGCUACCAUCAGGAUAGAUCUGUCCCCUUCCUCGGUUUCCCCCUACAUAUAUGGGAUAUUUUAAGAAAUGAACGUCUUUUUUCGUAGCAGGAUCGGGGGAAAGAAUAGGAAAGACAAUUUCACUAUAUUUCUUACCGGGAACAGGGCCUAUCACAAGAAUAUUUUUUUUAUUGGGACGAUAACUCUAAAAAGAGAGAUUUCCUAUCUUUUCUUUCAACUCAGGAGAAAUACGGUCAGGCGGCGCUAAUUCGAAUCCCUCGGGCAAAAUAAGAACAGCACCCACAUUCAACCCUCCCUUUUUACCAUUAGCAAGAACUUGUUUCAGCUGCAUAUCAUAAGGGAUUCGAAGAACUGCUUCAAAUACAGUAUCAGGAAGCACUGCUUGGGGAACCUCAAUAUCCACGGGCUUAUUAGCUAAAUGGCAAUUGGCACAUACAAUUCGUCCAGUUGCUUCCCGUGGGUUUUCAUAACCCUGCUGCGCAAAAAUGGGAUAUGCAUUUGAAAUAGAUGUGCGAGUUAUUACGUAUAUCAUGAUCGAUACGGAAAUCGAUCGAAUCAUCUGUUCCUUUAACCAAGAAAAAGUAUUUCUAUUUUCCAUGUCCAAUCGCGGAUCCCGGAAUUUCUACAAUAAAUUAGAUAGGUAGCUAAGCUAAUCUAGUUCCCUAUACACGAGUCUGUUGUCAUUCUACUGCAACAGUUGUACUGGAAUGAUGAAUACCUUGAGCAGGUAGAAAUAGAAAGAAUUUUGCUAAAAAGGAAAAGGCUUUCUUUCUAAAGGAAGAAAUAUGCUAAUUUGAUUAAUAUUAGGAAAAAUAUUAGGAAAUCAAAUGAGUGAGUUUAUGCUUCACUAAUCGAAUGAUAAAUGACUACAAGUGAAGGAGAUAGACGGUUUAAACAAAAAAAGACCCAAAAUUUCAAACACGUGUCUAGAAUAACAGGAAAACUACAAACAAAAAUAGUGAAAAUUAGCUCGUUAGGAGCCCAUCCAAAAUUGUUGUAGACCCAACGAAUUAGUAGUUCCCAACCGCGGGUGGAGUGAAAUCCAACAAAAAAAUCAGUAACUAAAAGAAUAAAAAAAGCUUUUAUUGAGUCAUUUAAGUUAUAGAAAAAUUCCUGAACCCAAGAAUUCAAAAUGACAAGUUCUUCUUUACCCAGAAAAAAAGAACCACUUAGAAUAGCCAAACAGAUUAUAUUUGUUGAGAAAUGCAAAAUGGUAUGGAGAUGAUCCUCAUUAUCUAUUUUGGCCAAUUGUAUUAUUUCCUUGUGUAUUCCUAUAGGAGGUUUUUGUACAUGUGUCUUCGGUUUCUCUUUUAUCAUUUCGUCCAAGAGAAAAAGUUCUUCUAAUUCUAUGAAUCCUUCUAGAAUCCUUUUCUCUUGAAUAUCAGUUAAGAAAGUUUCGGAUUGCCUGGUAUUCCACCAAUUCUUAAUCCAAAGUUCCAGGCAUUUGUUAAAAGAGAAAGAGAUUCCCCAGGGCAAAAGUACGAUAAAUACAAGAUAUAGGAAAGAAGGCAAUGCUUUCUUUUUUUUCAUUUUUGAUCUGUAAAUUGAGUUGUUAAUGAAUCCGCUUCAUUCGCCGACUCUAUUUCAUUCGCUGAAUAUAUAUGAUAUUUCUUUUCUUUGAAACACAAAUUCUAUAACAAGGUUUGAGACCUUGUGUUUGUAUCUAUUUAUCUUUUUGUAUACUAGUGGAAUUUCAUUGUAUUGGGUUCUUUCUUAGAUCUAAAUGGAGUGGAAUAGAGAAAUAAAAAAAAGGCCUUUCAUAUAAAAAUGGAAGAAUAUUAUGCCAUAUAUCUCACUUGGAUAAAACAAAUUAGAAGCAAUUUUCUCUUAUUCUCGUUUGUUCCUUCCUUUAGAUAAAUACUCGAAAAUCCCUUACAAUUGCAAAAAAUUGCAAUUGGUACUCAAAAUACUUCAAUUGGUACACGCAAGAAAUAGGCCAAUUCGGCAGCUUUUUGUUCAAUUUCUCGUGGAGUAAAAAACUUCUCAUCAGUACGAGUCAAGGGAAUGACCCCCUGGCCCCGGAUUUCCAUAUAAAGGAUACGACGAGGAUAAAGACCCUCUUUAACCUGAAUCCUAAUUGAUUGGAUAUCCCGCACAAGGAAUCGAAGGAAGAUGCGACGUUUUAUUCCAGGGAAUCCCCAACGAAAAAUGCACACUAUUCCCUCUUUUCUAUCGAAUCGGUCAUAACCACUGCCUACAUUCCACAAAAUAGUGCACCACAAAUAGGAGCUAAUGAAUAGGCCCGCGAUUCCGUAGAAAGACAUCACGACCCCCUGUGGAAAAAAAAGAAUUUGUUGAGAUGGAAGUACGGAUAUCAUAUUCUUACCAAGAUAACUGGAAGCCCCAACCGCUAAGAAUCCUAAUGAACCUAGAAAAAGAAUACAGGCCCAGAAAAAAUUACCUCUUUUUCGAGAACCUUUUAGAAGUUCUAUCCAUAUGUGUUCUGAUCGCCAAUUCAUAUUAGAUAUACUAAAUCCAGUAGCGGUCAAUUGAAAUUGAGAG
rnacentral:lncRNA from 1 species